GGGGUUGCUUUCUUCAUUUGUUUAUUUCUUCUUCUUGUUCUUCUUUUUUUAAAGUUGCCUCCUGUGUAAUUCAUUUGAACUACUGGCCGCUAUACUGUUGUUGGUUUUUUCCCUUUGUUUAAUGCUGCUUUUUUCUCUUUCUUUUUUAUCAUCAAAUUCACAUUUUCUAAUGUGUUUUUCAGGUACAGUUUCCUGCAUGCUGUCAAAUACAUCCAUCAUGUUGCAGUUUAUUGCCAUAUUAUGUACCAUGAUCGUCACCAAGAACCAACUCUGUGAUGUCUUCUAGUUUGUCUGCUGGUUGUCUUCAGCUAGUACAGCAGCAUCUCUAACAUGUCUGUCAAUUCUCCAAUCUGGAUUGAACAUCACUGUCCCAACAAUUGCGACAUCUGUUUCAGACUUUUCAUCAGGAUGUUCUUCACAUAUUGUAUCAUAUAGCAAUAGAAAUGUUCACACUUUAAUAGCUCAGUUGUGUGACUAUGCCAGUUACAAACAUUUACUAAAUUAAUAUACUAUAUAUUUAUUACCCAUAUGGUUAUACCUUUGUACAUAUUAAAGUGAUACGUCCCACUAGAACGUGACGUCAUCGACUGGUGCACUACAACCUUACAGGAACACCAUCCAAACGAGUUGAGCGAUAUAAAUUAAGAUCGAUUAUGGCUAAUAUAUAUCAUAUGAAACUCGCUACCAUUUGGUAUCAUGUUUAUCUCCCUCGUAAAAAAAUUAUUUCACUCCUGACAUGCACAUGAUACGAAGUGGAAGCUCGUUUAAUAUCCUAUAUAUCUUUUUGUUUUUUAAAUAUUGUAUGGUAAGUAUUGUUGGCUACAUAAACCAUCUAAUUUUCAAGACAAAUCAUCAGAUAUAUACUAGAGUUUUAACCCCAAAAAAAGAAAACAAAAAAAAGAAGAAACGAAAAUACGACUAAAUACUGAUUUGGUUGUAGAUGAGGCUAUCUCAAAUGUGAAAUAGCUGUAAAAAUUAUUUUGGGAACUUGAUAAGAGGCUGACGAUAUAUUUUUGCUAAAUUAUUUAUUAGAACCUGUUUAGCAAACGAAGGAAAACAUAAAUUAAACUGUACAAAAUCUGUUAUGUUAUGUGAGGGUGGCAUUUUUUUCUGUAAUCCAAAACGUAUGGUAAUAUUUUAUCUCCGAGGCCAGAAUAGAUCUAUCUACAGUUAAAAUAUAUAUAUUAAUGACUUUUAAGCAUGUUUCUUCAACAUGAUAAAAUUAUCAACAAUUCAAUAUCGACCUUUUCGGACAUGGGUGUAUAGCGCAAGAGACAGCCAUAGUGGAUUGGUUAAUGAACUGCCUGUUCGGACCAGUACCACAGCCAGAUGCGGUAAUAUAGAAGAAAAAACCCCAGAGGGAAUUGUUCUAAAUUUUGGAGUGAACAUAUAUGUUUAUAUAAUGCAUGUUCGCAAUGGUGUAUGUUGUUAGUGCCAACGAGAACCCGUUCUACUGGCAAUCUUCAUUUGAAGUUGGGCAAUUUAACAUGGCUUUCAAUAGCAGAUGACAUGUUUUUUAGUGAGACCACAAUGUAAAACAUAAAAUUGGUGUUUAUCCCCAAAAAUAUAAGUUUAGCAAGCCAAAAUGAAAAUGUACUAGUGUAGCAUCCUUAUAAAAAGGUAAUUUUAUCGAUGUGUAUUUUUUUUUUUUUUUUAGGGGGUGGGGGUCAAAAUGUAUAUGCUAGUGUUCUUACAUGUAAUAUAUACAUUGAUCUGAGUUUCUAACAUUGAGUUUCUCAUUGUAAAAAGUCAAAAUUUAAGGUCACAAGAUCAAUAUCCAAAUUCACCCUAAUUUCUCUGAUUCUGUGCAUAAUGAAUGUUUUCGAAUGUAAUAGUAUCUUGAAUAUAAAACAUAGUAUUCUACUAUAAAAGUAGAAUUUGUAUCUGCCAUACAUAAUGUAUGGAUCUUCAUGCUGAAAUAUACAGAAAAAAAACCAACAACCAGGAUUUCCACACUUCAUUGUGAAAUAAUUGUUGCCCAUUGUUGAUCAAAACUAAUAUUUUUAAUGAACUAACUAGAUAAUUAGCUUUUUUGUUUGUUCCUUAUAUCACAACUACCAAAACAGGUCAUGCAUUACCAUGUAGUGUUGCUUGUUUGAUGGCCAUCUAUUGUGUGGAUGACCAAGGAGUGAUAAUGUGACAUGAAGUUUUAUUGGAUAGUAUGGUAUUUUGGUGCAUUCUUUAGAGUUCAUAAGUUACACUGGUCUAGUAUGACUUUUCAUGGUGUAAAUGACCCAAAUUAUCAAGUGUACUUGAAACCAUGUUUGACCAAAUCUGUUAAGGUCUCACUACACAGAUCACUUCCUGGUGAGAGUUCAUUGAUUGCAGUCCACUAUAGUUCCUUAUUGUGACACAAGUUACGGUUCACAUAUUCGCUUCUUGGAAAUGGUGAAAAAUUAAAACAAUAUGGUAAGCCUUCUGGCUGUAUUUUGCCCAUGCUAUUUUGUAAUAUUGUUCAUUGCAAAAAACUGAGACGGAAAUGUUCUCAAUUUUGGAGUGAAAAUAAAUGCAUACAUAAUGUGUGUUCGCAAUGGA